ensembl:lncRNA
GGAAACUCUUCAUUUCCUGCUCUGUUGAUCGUUGGACUCAUCUGUGGACUUUUACUGAUUCUUCUUCUGCUGUUGUGUCGCUUCAUACAGUCAAAGGGUGAAACCAUUUCUCUCUGAUAUUACACUGAACAUGAUCUAAUUGUUCAGAACUACAGAUGUACCCUGAACGCUGCAUGUAACGUUACAGCACCAGAACAGUUUGCAAUAAAAACAUCUGAUUGUGUUUUUUUGUUUUGUUUUUCAGAUUCAUGCUUUGCCAGCACAAAUCAAACCAUAAACCACACGAUCAACCAGGAUGAAGCUCGAGACAGCCAACAUGCUUCUCCUCACCAAGGUGAUGCUUGUCUCUAUGAAUCAGUCAAAGACCAUGAUGACACAGAUAAUGUUGAAUCUGGGGAUGUCACAUAUUCUUUGAUUGAGUUUAAAAACAUCACUCAAAAAGAUGACAGCCUGUUGUAUGCAGAGGUCUCCCACAAGAGAGCUAAAGCCAAGAGAAACAAGGGUAAGUAAAGUAGUAAGGUACACAUUUGUUUUUGCUGUCUGUUUUACACUUUUUACCCCUCAGUCUAAAAGGCUGAUUUGAGGCAUUGUCAUCCUGCUGGUUGCGUGGACGGGGGUGUGGACACCCAACACUGUGAACACAAUAACUCAUGAAUGAGGCAACACAGGAUUUUCAAAUUGAUAUCAAAGGUGUAUUUAUCUGGAGGCUGAGGACAAAAACUGUGAGCCACCGGCAAUUUUUACACACCAAGGAAAAGUGUUAGAAUUAAGAUGUUACUGACAAUCAUGACUAAUAAUUUCUUUAUUUGCAGAAAAAUCAGCCUCUGCAGCAGCUGAAGAAGUCACUUAUUCUGAAGUCAAGUCACAACCAGCUCUUGAUUACAGCCUGUUGUAUGCAGAGGUCUCCCACAACAGAGCUAAAGUCAAGAUACUUUAAGGGAAAUCAGCCCCUGCAGCAGCUGAUGAAGCAGUUUAUUCUGAAGUCAAAUCAAAACGAGUUGUUAGUAAUACAGAAAUAAAAUAGCUUACAUACUGUGAUUUGUUGUUGUAAUGAUUAACUCAGAGUGAACUGAGUCCCAAAUCACCUUUAAACACUGAAUAAUUCUGCAUUGAUUUGAAUUUAACAGCACUGGAAGAAAGUAGAGGAACAACAAAAGAAGAUUACGAUUAACUUUUUUAUGAAAAGUUUUCUUUCAUUUUAAAAAAGCUGCAGCAGCAAGUGAUAGUGUGGCGUUAGGAUCAGGAUCUUUCCACUUUCACAUACGCAUUUAUUGAACUGCAUAUAUUGUUACAUAUAUAUUUACAGAUGUGUCCUUUGUCUUUGCAAAUCAUUAUUUUUGUUCCUCUGGAUGGAUUAAGAACCAUUACAUAUAUUUCUAAAAACUUGUGUUUUUAAAUAGUUUUGUACAUUAAUAAACAUUUUUUAUUUGUUUGUUUCAUAUUUGGUAAGCUGCUGUCAAACUUUUGAUUCUGUUAUCUCAUUUUGUGUGUCAUUUAAACAAUAUAUUCUUUUUUAUAUAAACGUUAUCCAUUAUA